rnacentral:rRNA from 1 species
CAGUAGCCGCGGUAAUACGGAGGGUGCAAGCGUUAAUCGGAUUUACUGGGCGUAAAGCGUGCGUAGGCGGCUUUUUAAGUCGGAUGUGAAAUCCCUGAGCUUAACUUAGGAAUUGCAUUCGAUACUGGGAAGCUAGAGUAUGGGAGAGGAUGGUAGAAUUCCAGGUGUAGCGGUGAAAUGCGUAGAGAUCUGGAGGAAUACCGAUGGCGAAGGCAGCCAUCUGGCCUAAUACUGACGCUGAGGUACGAAAGCAUGGGGAGCAAACAGGAUUAGAUACCCCGGUAGUCCCUGUCUCUUAUAU